rnacentral:rRNA from 1 species
GACGAACGCUGGCGGCGUGCUUAACACAUGCAAGUCGAACGAAGUGGCGAACGGGUGAGUAACGCGUAAUCAACCUGCCCUUAAGAGGGGGACACCAGUUGGAAACGACUGCUAUUACCGCAUACUGAAGGAGGGGCUUGCGUCUGAUUGGCUAGAUGGAGGGGUAACGGCCCACCAAGGCGAUGAUCAGUAGCCGGGCUGAGAGGAUGAACGGCCACAUGGGGACUGAGACACGGCCCAGACUCCUACGGGAGGCAGCAGUGGGGAAUCUUCCGCAAUGGACGAAAGUCUGACGGAGCAACGCCGCGUGAGUGAUGACGGCCUUCGGGUUGUAAAGCUCUGUUAAUCGGGACGCGGUACCGGAAUAGAAAGCCACGGCUAACUACGUGCCAGCAGCCGCGGUAAUAC